AUUUUCAACAGGUUGGUUUCGUCAUCAAUGAUUCUAACACAAACGUGAGCCCUUGUCCUUCAUACGUCACGGAGAAUUAUGACAGACUUACAACAACAACGGCUCGACCUUCCCGUUGCAACAAGCUCGCACUUUUUAGUGAUAUCGCCUACAAGAAGAACGUUGGUAUACAAACCUCAUUGAAAUGUCCCGGGACUACCAACCACGACUCCGACGCCGCCGUCGUCGCAUUUUGUAGCGCGCCAGACCCUUCAUUAUGGCUAAGAGGAAUAAAGGUGACGGAGAACUGUAAUCAGUUAGGACAGUAUGAGCCCGUGGCCGUAUUUGACCACCACUCAACAUAUCAGCAGUCAGCCGGUAUAUUAUUGGCCUGUAAUCAACAAUCUAUCCAUAUUGCAACGCAGAAUUGUUCUGGAGGAUUACAUAUAAAAGAAGUGACACAUUUAGACAACCCGACAAGCUUAGAGUACCAUGUCGUAGAAUGGCCUUGACAUUGUUCCAAAACUAUUGCAGUAGUUCUCUGACAUGCUUUAUAAAAUUUGCUAUUAUACAUGUACUAUUUCUUUCAGAAUAAAUCUAGCAUGAAAAACUGCUUCUUUUAAUU